AUCAUUUAGAGGAAGGAGAAGUCGUAACAAGGUUUCCGUAGGUGAACCUGCGGAAGGAUCAUUGUCAAAACCUGCAACAGCAGUAUGACCCGCGAACAUGUAAAAACAACGUGGGGUGCGCCUUGUGCACCCCAUUGCCUUGUCGUGCUCCUAGCGGGUGCGGUCUCGGCACAACAACAAACCCCGGCGCGUAAUGCGCCAAGGAAAACUAACGAAGAAAACGUUUCUUUGCUUAUAUCCGUUYGCGGGUGUUAGCUUGGGGCAUUGACUUCAUAUACUAAACACGACUCUCGGCAACGGAUAUCUCGGCUCUCGCAUCGAUGAAGAACGUAGCAAAAUGCGAUACUUGGUGUGAAUUGCAGAAUCCCGUGAAUCAUCGAGUUUUUGAACGCAAGUUGCGCCUGAAGCCAUUAGGCCGAAGGCACGUCUGCCUGGGCGUCUCGCAACCCGUCGCCCCCAGCCUUGCAUCAUAUGCAUAGGAUUGUGGGCGGAUGUUGGCCUCCCGUGAGCACCUAGCUUGCGGUUGGCCUAAAAAGCGAAGUCCUCGAUGACGGAUCGUCACGACACGUGGUGGUUGAACAACCUUGUCGCGUCCUGUUGUUGGCGCAACCGUCACCGGGCGAAGUUAUGACCCUGACGCGCUCUCUCUGAUGGCGCAUCGACAGCGACCCCANGUCAGGCGGGACUACCCGCUGAGUUUAAGCAUA
rnacentral:misc_RNA from 1 species